GACUCCAAGAUAAAGCUACUCCUGGUGUAAGUGGAGUUAUGAUAUGCCAUUUCUUAUAUGCUACAAAUGCUCCACCAAUGUGCUUUAAGAGGGAUGCUGGAUACCUUGUUCAUUUGUCACAUCAAACAUCAUCCUAAAUAUUUGGCAAAGGUCUAAUCGGGAGGUGUGUAUUUGUCCAUCUAAGGCAUUAGCCAAUUCAGGCGGUGUAGGUGACAGCCAUCACUUUAAAAUAUCUGAAUACCCCAGGGCAAAUAAAAUGAAGACAGUUGUAAAGGUUUAUGAAGUCCUGUUGCAAUCAGUGAGCUAACUACAGACAAACUUUCAAGUCUAGGUGUGAAGUAGGGAGUAUGGGUCAUGUUCUGCCCAGACUUACUUCCUGUGCCAUCCACUGAAACCACUGGAGUGACUCCCAAGUUUUCUUUGAUAUAACAGAGAAGAAUUAGGCCCAAUAUCUCUUCCUCAACUGAAAAAAAAAAAAUCCAUGUUCACCUACUGACUGAAGGAACCACUGGCAAAGUUUACCAAUUUCAAGUGAACUUGGGCUGCUGGAAAAAAAGACUUAGGCACUCUCUUAAAGGCCAAAAGAGGAGCUUGGCUUCUCCUGCUUGGUUUCUGAAAAACUGACAUGAUGGGCAGAUUCUCAAACAGUCACAAUUAACAAACAACUAUCAGUGAAGAGAAACCUAGGAAGGAAGUGAGUAUCUUCUGCAGCACAUGGGCCAAGUUCCAUGGGUGCAUCUAAGGGGAGAAAUCUGAAGAACAUAACUAUUUGUGGCGUAUGUAGCUAUUAAGCCUUUGUUUGUGGUGUACUGCACCUUUAAAUAUCUAAAAGCUCUGAUAUCUAAAGACACAGUGAGGCAUUUUGUUCUCAGUGAUGCUUCAGUCUAUAAUGAAGGAUAUACACAC